rnacentral:miRNA from 1 species
UAAAACAAGUCAUUUUGUUUGUA